GAUGAAGAACGUAGUGAAAUGCGAUAAGUAAUGUGAAUUGCAGAAUUCAGUGAAUCAUCGAAUCUUUGAACGCACAUUGCGCCCGCCAGCACUCUGGCGGGCAUGCCUGUUCGAGCGUCAUUUCAACCAUCAAGCCCCCAGGGGCUUGUGCUGGGGCCCUGCGGCUGCCCGCAGGCCCUGAAAACCAGUGGCGGGCUCGCUAGUCACACCGAGCGCAGUAGCACAUCUCGCUCAGGGCGUGCGGCGGGCUCCUGCCGUGAAACCCCCCACUGUAACCCCAAAGGUUGACCUCGGAUCAGGUAGGAAUACCCGCUGAACUUAAGCAUAUCAAUAAGCGGAGGA
rnacentral:misc_RNA from 1 species